ACUCAAAUGAAUUGACGGGGGCCCGCACAAGCGGUGGAGCAUGUGGUUUAAUUCGAUGCAACGCGAAGAACCUUACCUGGUCUUGACAUCCACAGAACCUUGUAGAGAUACGAGGGUGCCUUCGGGAACUGUGAGACAGGUGCUGCAUGGCUGUCGUCAGCUCGUGUUGUGAAAUGUUGGGUUAAGUCCCGCAACGAGCGCAACCCUUAUCCUUUGUUGCCAGCGGUCCGGCCGGGAACUCAAAGGAGACUGCCAGUGAUAAACUGGAGGAAGGUGGGGAUGACGUCAAGUCAUCAUGGCCCUUACGACCAGGGCUACACACGUGCUACAAUGGCGCAUACAAAGAGAAGCGACCUCGCGAGAGCAAGCGGACCUCAUAAAGUGCGUCGUAGUCCGGAUUGGAGUCUGCAACUCGACUCCAUGAAGUCGGAAUCGCUAGUAAUCGUGGAUCAGAAUGCCACGGUGAAUACGUUCCCGGGCCUUGUACACACCGCCCGUCACACCAUGGGAGUGGGUUGCAAAAGAAGUAGGUAGCUUAACCUUCGGGAGGGCGCUUACCACUUUGUGAUUCAUGACUGGGGUGAAGUCGUAACAAGGUAACCGUAGGGGAACCUGCGGUUGGAUCACCUCCUUACCUUAAAGAAGC
rnacentral:rRNA from 1 species